rnacentral:lncRNA from 1 species
CUACAUGAUCCAGAGGAAUUGUUUCUGCAUAAUCCAUAGGAAUUGCUGCACAAACCAGAAACACUUAGAAGCAUAUACUUCCGAUCUAACAAGCAUAGGCAUAAACAAGCAUACAGUUUUUUUUAUCAGAAAAGGAAUGGAAUAAAUAUUUGAUCAUUGAGUUUUUUUAUCAACAAAAGGAAUAGAAUAAAUAUUUGAUCAUUUAAGGAAUGCUCCAAUCCGUAUACAAGUAAACCUGAUAAUAGAACACUACAAGAAAAUCAUGAAAUAGAAACCAAUUUUUAAAUACCAAAAUAAUUAGUUGCAAUAGUAACUAAAUUAGAG